UACGUAGGGGGCAAGCGUUGUCCGGAAUCAUUGGGCGUAAAGCGCGCGUAGGCGGCCCGGUAAGUCCGCUGUAAAAGUCCAGGGCUCAACCCUGGAAAGCCGGUGGAUACUGUCGGGCUCGAGUCCGGAAGAGGCGAGUGGAAUUCCUGGUGUAGCGGUGGAAUGCGCAGAUAUCAGGAGGAACACCGAUGGCGAAGGCAGCUCGCUGGGACGGUACUGACGCUGAGACGCGAAAGCGUGGGGAGCGAACAGG
rnacentral:rRNA from 1 species